UUCAUAGGCUCUACAACAUUGCUGUUACUUUGAAGGGUCUUCUCACUUUUCUUUGAUUUUCCUUUCGACAGGGGAUCUUGAAAUGCCUUCGAUACCUUCACUCUACCUUUUCGCUGUACUGACGUCAGUGAUUCUUUAGUAGCAUUCUUACUUGUUAAUCUUUCAACAUCUGUACCAGAAAGCCUUUUACCAAAUCCCUUCACUGGUGAUAUCACUUCAUUAUUGAUAGCCACACAUACAUCUUUU